rnacentral:lncRNA from 1 species
UGGCGAGGAUCGGACGGCGGUGAAACCCUAACACGAACCGGUGGUGAUUCGAGGGAAGAUGACUGUAGAGCGAGGCAGGUAGGGUUAUGGUGAAUUGGAGAAUGAGAUGGAGAUGGAGAUGGAGAGAAAGAUGAUUUUUGAGAGGAUUGAUGGAGAUGAAGACGAGUGAAAGUAGGAGAGAGAUUGAGGAUUACUGUAAAAGAAGCCAUGGAGAAGAAAAUAGAGGGUUUUGGUUAACCUAAUCUGGUAAAAGGAACAUAGGGUAGCAAGCAAAUUCAGAGAGGAUGUGAGCUCGUCGUCGUCGUCAUCAUCUUCAUCACGUAAAUGGAGACGCGUGUAUUUAUGACGUCGGCAUUUAUAAAAAAUUAA